rnacentral:rRNA from 1 species
GACGAACGCUGGCGGCGUGCUUAACACAUGCAAGUCGAACGGACAGGUCCUGCUUUUGUGGGGUGCUCGAGUGGCGAACGGUUGCGUAACACGUGAGUACCCUGCCCUUGCCUUUGGGGUAACUUCAGGAAACUGGGGCUAAUACUGGCUAGGAGCUCCUGCUGUAUGGUGUGGGUUGGAAAGUUUCGGCGGUUGGGGAUGGACGCGCGGCUUAUUAGCUUGUUGGUGGGGUAGUGGCUUACCAAGGUUUCGACGGAUAGCCGGACUGAGAGGGUGACCGGCCACAGAGGGACUGAGAAACGACCCGGACUCAUACGGGAGGCAUCGGUGAGGAAUAUUGCACAAUGGGCGGAAGGCGGAUGCAGCAACUCCGCGUGCGGGAGGACGGCCGUCGGGGUGUAAACCGCGUUCGCCUGUAACGAAGCGUGAGUGACGGUAAUGGGUAAAAAAGCACCGGCUAACUACGUG